rnacentral:rRNA from 1 species
CGUGGGUAACCUGCCUUGUACAGGGGGAUAACAGUUGGAAACGGCUGCUAAUACCGCAUAAGCGCACGGCAUCGCAUGAUGCAGUGUGAAAAACUCCGGUGGUAUAAGAUGGACCCGCGUUGGAUUAGCUAGUAGGUGGGGUAAAGGCUCACCUAGGCGACGAUCUCUAGCUGGUCUGAGAGGAUGAUCAGCCACACUGGGACUGAGACACGGCCCAG